rnacentral:rRNA from 11 species
UGUAAUCAUUAAAAUACACUAAAGGCACCAGUUCCCAUCUGAUAUUGAAAGCUAAGCAGGGUCAAACCUGGUUAGUAUUCGAUUGGAAAAUCACCAACAAAGACCAGUUACAAUUUAUGG